GUCUAGCAUGUCUAGCUGAUUAUACAUUUUGAACAUGUUGAAGGAAAUGUGUGUUUUAAAUGAUGAAUUGAAUUUAUCUACAUUUAAGUGGGCUUGCAGGUCUAAAUCAUUUUUUUUUAUUUGAUAUAGGAUUUCGUUAUAUUUUUCUAUAAAUUAACUUUAUCUUAAACUUAUUAGAAAAAUGAAAUAAAAACAUGGGGUCACCGAUCAUUUAUGCUCACAAUCUGCCUUCGAAAGAAGGAUACAUUUUUGUUAGUGUCCUUUUUUUCGUUGAACUAAUAGUAGAAAUAGCGGUAAUAUCGAAGUAACAAUGAAUAAAAAAAGAACUAAAUACAGAAAUCGCUUAAAUUUUACAAUUAUUUAGUUUAUGUACAGCUUAUUCGAAAACAACAAUAAAAAAUAUAGGUCACCAAUGAGUUAAAAAAGAUAUUUUAAUUUUAAUGCCAAAAAAUGUCAUUUUUGGACCAAAGGGAGAUAAUUUAGAGCUGUUUCAAUGAUACCUACAAUUUAAAAGUCAUCUGGGGCCAACACGAAUUGACCUUUUUGGAAUAGUUUUUGUACCAUAUGAUAAAGCAACAAGUACUUAAGGUAAUAAAUAAAAUUUGUAAUGAAAAAUAAAUGUUUGAUUUUUUGUUGAAAAUCUUAUACCCGCGAGCA
rnacentral:lncRNA from 1 species